GCGCGAAACCUUUGCCAUGCGCGAAAGCGUGACAGGGGAACUCCGAGUGGUAAGAGGAUUUAUCUUCUUAUCUUUUGGCCGAUCCAAACAAUCGGCAGAAUAAGGUCUGGGUAAGACCAGUGCCAGCCGCCAUGCUAUGUUAACGCAUCAGCAUUGGCACGGUACGCGGUAAUACUGGCAGAACAAGUGGUAUCCACGAAUAUUGGGUCUAAAGAGUCCGUAGCGGGCUGGUUAAGUCCACUGUGAAAUCUAACGGCUCAACCGUUAGGCGUGCAGCGGAUACUGAUCGGCUUGGGAGUGGGGGAGGUCGGGAGUACUUGCGGGGUAGAGGUAAAAUUCUGUAAUCCUGCAAGGACUACCAGUGGCGAAGGCGCCCGACCAAAACACGUCCGACCGUGAGGGACGAAGGCUAGGAGAACGAAUCGG
rnacentral:rRNA from 1 species